rnacentral:rRNA from 1 species
UACGUAGGGUGCAAGCGUUAAUCGGAAUUACUGGGCGUAAAGCGUGCGCAGGCGGUUAUGUAAGACAGAUGUGAAAUGCCCGGGCUUAACCUGGGAACUGCAUUUUGUGACUGCAUGGCUAGAGUUUGGCAGAGGGGGGUAGAAUUCCACGUGUAGCAGUGAAAUGCGUAGAUAUGUGGAGGAACACCGAUGGCGAAGGCAGCCCCCCUGGGUCAAGACUGACGCUCAUGCACGAAAGCGUGGG